UACGGAGGGUGCAAGCGUUAUCCGGAUUCACUGGGUUUAAAGGGUGCGUAGGUGGGCAGGUAAGUCAGUGGUGAAAUCUCCGGGCUUAACCCGGAAACUGCCAUUGAUACUAUCAGUCUUGAAUACCGUGGAGGUAAGCGGAAUAUGUCAUGUAGCGGUGAAAUGCUUAGAUAUGACAUAGAACACCAAUUGCGAAGGCAGCUUACUACGGGUGCAUUGACACUGAGGCACGAAAGCGUGGGGAUCAAACAGG
rnacentral:rRNA from 1 species